rnacentral:rRNA from 1 species
AGCGAACGCUGGCGGCAGGCCUAACACAUGCAAGUCGAACGAACCUUUCGGGGUUAGUGGCGGACGGGUGAGUAACACGUGGGAACGUGCCUUUAGGUUCGGAAUAACUCAGGGAAACUUGUGCUAACACCGAAUGUGCCCUUCGGGGGAAAGAUUUAUCGCCUUUAGAGCGGCCCGCGUCUGAUUAGCUAGUUGGUUGAGGUAAUGGCUCACCAAGGCGACGAUCAGUAGCUGGUCUGAGAGGAUGAUCAGCCACAUUGGCACUGAGACACGGCCCAAACUCCUACGGGAGGCAGCAGUGGGGAAUCUUGCGCAAUGGGCGAAAGGCUGACGCAGCCAUGCCGCGUGAAUGAUGAAGGUCUUAGGAUUGUAAAAUUCUUUCACCGGGGACGAUAAUGACGGUACCCGGAGAAAAAGCCCCGGCUAACUUCGUG